rnacentral:rRNA from 1 species
UACGUAGGGCGCAAGCGUUUGUCCGGAAUUAUUGGGCGUAAAGAGCUCGUAGGCGGCUUGUCACGUCGGGUGUGAAAGCCCGGGGCUUAACCCCGGGUCUGCAUUCGAUACGGGCAGGCUAGAGUGUGGUAGGGGAGACUGGAAUUCCUGGUGUAGCGGUGAAAUGCGCAGAUAUCAGGAGGAACACCGGUGGCGAAGGCGGGUCUCUGGGCCGAUACUGACGCUGAGGAGCGAAAGCGUGGGGAGCGAACAGG